rnacentral:rRNA from 1 species
UCUACGGGAGGCAGCAGUGGGGGAUAUUGCACAAUGGGGGGAACCCUGAUGCAGCGAUGCCGCGUGGGUGAAGGCGUGCUUCGGCUUGUAAAGUUCUGUCGCAGGGGACGAAACAGACGGUACCCUGCAUAAAAACUCCCGCUAACUACGUUCCAACAGCCGGGGGAAUACGUGGGGAGCAAGCGUUUUCCGGAAUUACGGGGGGUAAAGGGAGCGGAGGCGGGGGGAGAAGGUGAAGGUGAAACCUAUGGGCUCAACCCGUAGCUGCGUUAAAAACUGUUCGUCUUGAGUGAAGGAGAGGCAGGCGGAAUUCCUGGUGUAGCGGUGAAAUGCGUAGAUAUUAGGAGGAACACCAGCGGCGAAGGCGGCCUGCUGGGC